GUCCCGUGCGGCUCAGUUGGUAGAGCGUGGUGUUUGCAACGCCAGGGUUGUGGGUUCGAUUCCCACAGGGGACC
rnacentral:tRNA from 1 species